AACCAAAUAUAGUCGAGCCUGGAUAUUUUUAGCCGGGCCUCGGGCGCGAGCCCGCCGCGUGAGGGGGCGCCCUGACCCCGCCAGGAGUGCGGAGGGGGCGGGGGCGGAGUCGCCAUCUUGGACCCGGCUCGACCCUGUCUAGUGACCGGCGGCGCUGGGCCAGGCUCUGCGCAGGGGGUCGGGCUCCGGUCGCGAUGAGUGUCAGGUGCUGCCUGGGGUAGAAACCAGUGACUACAAAGCUGCAAAGGAAAAGGGUUAGUGUCUGAGUGUCUGCAGUCACACCUGUGAGUUCUUUCAGGCUCUGCAUAUUCACCUCAGCGGGACAACACGAGUGCUGCCUCAAGAGAAACUUCUCUUGACUACCUCCUCUGCCACCCCCAAUGUAAAAGAGCUACCUGUGACGGGAAGAAAACCAGAACUUAGGUUACCAGACCUGGCGUGACUCUUGCUCUGUCACUGGGAGGAUUCAUAAAAAUCACGUUCCUGCUCCUUUCCAGGAAAAUGCAAUUUACCUGCCUCAAGGACUGCUAGGGUGGCUGGAUGACCCGGCCCGUGUAAAUAAAAAGGUGAAAUACAGUGCCAGGCCUCGAACCAGGGCUGCAGACAAGAGAGACAGCACAUCUCGCCUCGAUGAACUCACAGUCUGCUGGGGAAACGAAUGCUGAAAAAUCCGUCAUGAGUGUGACUUGGGGCCUGGAGGAGGACAGAUGUCUUCUCCAAGAAAACGACUCUGCCCCUGAAGUGUGAUGGGGGUUGCCCUAGGAAGGUUGGGGUUUCCGUUGGCAUUCACAGAAACAAGAAUAUUGACUAAAGAAAAUUCCAGAUGCAGACUGGAACCAGCUUCUGAUGUUCUGGUGUUCAUCCAUGCCUGGCUUGGAAUACAAAACUCCAUACAUUUGGAUUUUUCCUAAACCAGGACAUACUACCUUAUUGGGGCAAAAAUGUUCCCUCCAUUUCCAUAACAAAUCAUCCUUCUCAGAUUUAGCUCUAGAUAGUUUUGCCAUGACCUCAGAGGACAUCAUGCUUGUGAGCAUGAAUUCAGAAGUUUUAUAGAUUGAAUUAUAUAUUUUUUAAAGUUUUUCUUUAUUUAUUUGAUAGAGAGCUCACAAGUAGGCAGAGAGGCAGGCAGAGAGAGAGGAGGAAGCAGGCCCCCUGCUGAGCAGAGACCCCCCCACCCCCACCCCUACCCCCCUGCCUCCAGUGCAGGGCUCAAUCCCAGGACCCUGAGAUAAUGACCUGAGCCAAAGGCAGAGGCUUAACCCACUGAGCCACCCAAGCACCUCUAGAUUGAAUUAUGUUUAAAAAAAAUUUUUAGAGCAUCCUAAUAAGAAGUAGUUACUUAAGGAAGAUUUUAGCCAGGAGGUAUUUCUAAUUUAUGUGGGAGUAUUAAGUGCCCAUCUAUAAAAUGAGAGACAGUUGUGGUAUCCUCAAAAAACACAUUACCCUAGAAAUAAAAAGGCCUGACUGAGUCCCAACUUUCUCAACUUACUACCUGUGUGACACUGAGCAAGCCAUCCAAGCACAUUUAAUCUGCAAAAUGAAGGAGGAGGAUCUCUCUACCUACUUUGCAGGGCUAUAUGAACAUCAAAUGAAAGUCGUAGCAAAUAUUUACUGAGUUCCUAUUAUGUACCAGAGACUAUGCCAGGAAGAAAGGAUGCAGGGGUGCUCAGACACCCGGAGUCUCUGUCCUCAAGAAGAUUCUUACUGCAGGAAGGAAGCUACAUCCUAUAAAUCGCUGAAGACAUGUAAGUUAGUACUGUCAUCAAAUAUUAGUAGUAGUAGAAUUUCUUAGCAGAGAGUGUUGGGUCUUGAAUGUUGUUAAGAAAUAAUUUUCAAAAAGGUAAAAUUGUGACUCUCA